CGUAGCUUAACACAUGCAAGUCGAACGGACCAUAGAGACGGAAGUUUCGGACGGAAGGCUUUAUGGGUAGUGGCGGACGGGUGAGUAACGCGUGGGGAACCUGCCCCAUACCGGGGGACACAGCUGGAAACGGCUGCUAAUACCGCAUAAGCGCACGGGUGUGGCAUCACACAGUGUGAAAAACUCCGGUGGUAUGGGAUGGCCCCGCGUUGGAUUAGGCAGUUGGCGGGGUAACGGCCCACAAACCGACGAUCCAUAGCCGACCUGAGAGGGUGACCGGCCACAUUGGGACUGAGACACGGCCCAAACUCCUGCGGGAGGCAGCAGUGGGGAAUAUUGCACAAUGGGGGAAACCCUGAUGCAGCGACGCCGCGUGAGUGAAGAAGUAUUUCGGUAUGUAAAGCUCUAUCAGCAGGGAAGAAGAUGACGGUACCUGCAGAAGAAGCCCCGGCUAACUACGUGCCAGCCGCCGC
rnacentral:rRNA from 1 species